GCAUGUAAAUGCACUCUGCCUCAUGCUUUUUUAAUGUUUUACUCGUCUUAAUUGCUGAAACCGGUUGUAAUUUCUGCUGGCUUGAGGAAACCGUUUCCUCCAGCGCACUCAGACCUCUCCUUGCACCUGGCACGUCCCGAAACUUGCUUUCUGUGAGGCGGUCACUCUUGGAGAGAAGCAGCAACUGCUCUUCCAAGACAAAUGGUGCCCUCCUUGGCCUGCUUAAAGGCUUCUACAAAGAAUCUCUCAUCGAGGGCUGGAGAGAUGGCUCAGCGGUUAGGAGCACUGACUGCUCUUCCAGAGGUCCUGAGUUCAAGUCCCAGUGACCACAUAACCACAUGGUGGCUCACAACCGUCUGCAAUGGGAUCCAGUACCCUCUUCUGGUGGUGUGUCUGAAGACAGCUACAGCAUAAUCAUAUACAUAAAAUAAAUAAAUGAUACAAUGAAAGAAUCUCUCAUCGA